UACGAAGGGAGCUAGCGUUGUUCGGAAUCACUGGGCGUAAAGCGCACGUAGGCGGAUCGUUUAGUCAGGGGUGAAAUCCCGGAGCUCAACUUCGGAACUGCCUUUGAUACUGGCGAUCUCGAGUCCGAUAGAGGUGGGUGGAAUUCCUAGUGUAGAGGUGAAAUUCGUAGAUAUUAGGAAGAACACCGGUGGCGAAGGCGGCCCACUGGAUCGGUACUGACGCUGAGGUGCGAAAGCGCGGGGAGCAAACAGG
rnacentral:rRNA from 1 species